UGAAUACGAGAUGCUACGGCGUCGAAGCAGUGUAUGUCAGACUUCCAAGAAAAGCUCGCAAUGUCAUAAAUAAAUAAUGCCUGUACCAUAACCGACACAGGUGGGUAGGUAGAGUAUACUAAGGGGCGCGAGAUAACUCUCUCUAAGGAACUCGGCAAAAUAACUCCGUAACUUCGGGAGAAGGAGUGCCUUAUUUAUAAGGUUGCAAUAACAAGAUCUAAGCAACUGUUUAUCAAAAACACAGGUCUCCGCUAAGUCGUAAGACGAUGUAUGGGGGCUGACGCCUGCCCAGUGCCAGAAGGUUAAAGAAGUUGGUUAGCAUUGCGAAGCUGAUGACUGAAGCCCUGGUGAACGGCGGCCGUAACGAUAACGGUCCUAAGGUAGCGAAAUUCCUUGUCGGGUAAGUUCCGACCCGCACGAAAGGCGUAAUGAUUUGGAUACUGUCUCGGAGAGGGACUCGGUGAAAUAGACUUGUCUGUGAAGAUGCGGACUACCUGCACCAGGACAGAAAGACCCUAUGAAGCUUUACUGUAACUUGAAAUUGAAAUUGGACUUUAUUUGCGCAGUAUAGGUGGGAGGCGUUGAAAAUAAUCUCGCGGGAUUAUUGGAGCCAUCAGUGAGAUACCACUCCUAUAAUGUUAGAUUUCUAACUUUGUAUCAUUAUCUGGUCAAAGAACAGUUUCAGGCGGGCAGUUUGACUGGGGCGGUCGCCUCCUAAAUGGUAACGGAGGCGUACAAAGGUUUCCUCUGAACGGGUAGAAAUCGUAUCUAGAGUAUAAAGGCAUAAGGAAGCCUGACUGUGAGACCUACAAGUCGAGCAGGGACGAAAGUCGGUCUUAGUGAUCUGACGGUGCUGAGUGGAAAGGCCGUCACUCAACGGAUAAAAGUUACUCUAGGAUAACAGGCUGAUCUCCCCCAAGAGUUCACAUCGACGGGGAGGUUUGGCACCUCGAUGUCGGCUCAUCGCAUCCUGGGGCGGUAGUACGUCCCAAGGGUUGGGCUGUUCGCCCAUGAAAGCGGUACGCGAGCUGGGUUCAGAACGUCGUGAGACAGUUCGGUCCAUAUCCGGUGUAGGCGUUAGAAUAUUGAGAGGAGCCUUCUUUAGUACGAGAGGACCGAGAAGGACAUACCUCUGGUGUACCAGUUAUCGUGCCAACGGUAAACGCUGGGUAGCUAUGUAUGGAGUGGAUAACCGCUGAAAGCAUCUAAGUGGGAAGCCCACCUCAAGAUGAGUAUUCU
rnacentral:rRNA from 1 species